AUGGGGUUGGGGCUGCACUGGGUUUUCUUUGUUGCUCUUUUAAAAGGUAUCCACUGUGAGGUGCAGCUGAUUGUGUCUGGUGGAGGAUUGGUGAAGCCUGCAGGGUCACUGAAACUCUCCUGUGCGGCCUCUGGAUUCACCUUCACUGGCUAUGCCAUGAGCUGGGUCUGCCAGGCUCCAGGGAAGGGGCUGGAGUGGGUUGCUCGCAUUAGAACUAAACCUAAUAAUUAUGCAACCCAUUACUCGGAUUCAGUGAAAGGCAGAUUCACCAUCUCCAGAGAUGAUUCCCAAAGCAUGGCCUACCUGCAAAUGAACAACCUGAGAACUGAGGACACUGCCACUUAUUACUGUGCAAUCAACACAGUGAGGAGUCUGCAGUGUGAGCCCAGACAAAAACCUCACUGAUAGGUUCUCAUAGCCAGCAGGGGCGCACUCAGCACACAUAAAGCCCAGGUUCAGACAUAAUUGAUUUUUUUCUGUAUUAUCUAGGUGACCUCUCCAUCCUCUGAUUUUAUGGGGAUCCAUUUUGUAAUUAACGAUGCUAGGAAUUGAUCAUGCCUCUAAAAUUUAGGACUUCUGCUUUGACAAACAUUCUUAACACAAAUAUGCCACCUACUCCUCCCUGAAGAAAAUACUGAAAGUCUAUGAGGGAAGAGUGAUUCUCAGUU